rnacentral:lncRNA from 1 species
UUAUUUGCCAAACAGUAGCAGAAGUACUCCUGCCGUCUUCGAUCUCGCACCUUCCUCUUCCUUCCUUCGUUUUCAGAGAAGUUUCCUCUUACUCUUUCUCUUUCUUCAGGUGACGCUAUUUUCACACUUCUUUUGUCUGUCCACUGAAUGUAGUGUUAGGAAAUGUUAUGCUCUAACUAAUUCAUAGAUUUCAGUUACAGCUCUCUUUCUUCAGGUGACGCUAUUUUCCCACUUCUUUUGUCUGUCCACUGAAUGUAGUGUUAGGAAAUGUUAUGCUCUAACUAAUUCAUAGAUUUCAAUUACAGCUAAAAUUGACGCAUAGUAGUAAUGUACAUGUUUCCCUGUUUGUUAACUGUAUUGUGAAAAGAUUUCUUUGGUGCCAAACGAGAAAAAUGGAACUCAGCAAGUUUGCUAGUUUUUGGAUGUCAAAAUUUUAACUUUAAAAAGAAACGAAUUUAAUGUGUGUGACUUAGCUGUGGAAAUGGUCAAGUUGACUCUUCAUAAAUCGAAAAGUCUCAAACAAAAUGGGGUAGAUGGACUAGCUCAUAAUACGUGAAGUUGGGCAGUUUUUCCAAGUUAGAUAUUUUUGUUCAUAGCUAUAGUAGAUCAAUACACGGUCUGCACAAAGUUGAAUUAAUGAAGUUCAAAUUUUCUCGUUCUAUCGUGGAGUAUCUAUAGGAAAUACAUGCAGACAUACUUCCAAAGCAAUGCGCUUAUCAGAUUCAAAGUGUAUUCAAGACUCAAUGGAAGCUAUUCUAACAAAUUGAGUUAAAAGGUGUUGGACGAGGAAUCUUUACAUCAGACAUGGAGUCUGAAUCAAACCCAUGUUAGAUUUGAUAAUUAUUGUUAAAAAUGAAAAAUAAACACAUGUACAAUUGAUAUUGAGAUACUGAUGCAAGUUCUUCUGUUAAUAAUUUGUUUGUUAGUAUAAUAUACGCCAUUUCUGCUGGACUUACUAAUGCUCUUUUGUUUUU